UACAGAGGGUGCAAGCGUUAAUCGGAAUUACUGGGCGUAAAGCGUGCGUAGACGGUUGCGUAAGUCAGAUGUGAAAGCCCCGGGCUCAACCUGGGAAUUGCAUUUGAGACUGCGUAGCUAGGGUGCGGAAGAGGGAAGCGGAAUUUCCGGUGUAGCGGUGAAAUGCGUAGAUAUCGGAAGGAACAUCAGUGGCGAAAGCGGCUUCCUGGGCCAGUACCGACGUUCAGGCACGAAAGCGUGGGGAGCAAACAGG
rnacentral:rRNA from 1 species